rnacentral:tRNA from 1 species
GGCGGUGUAGCUCAGCUGGUUAGAGCACUCGGUUCAUACCCGAGUUGUCGGUAGUUCAAAUCUACUCACCGCUA